UUUCUUUCGGGUUUGAUCCCAGCCCUGAAUAAUGCUAGCGGAUCAUCUAAUACAUGCGAGUUAACUGAUGUUGUUCUUCCGUAGCGGCUGGGUGAGUUAGUAUGCACCCUAAUCGAGUUUUACAGAUGGGUGCGCAUUGGAUUAGGUGAACGAGAGUCUUGUGCCUAAGAUCUCUAGUCGAUUUGGUAGAAUGAUCGUCCACAUUAGAACUGAAAUAGGGUCUAACCUCUCUGAGGCUGCAGUAAAGAGUUUUGGACAAUGGGCUUUCGCUUGAUCCAGUGAUUCCGCUUGAGUGAUGAAGGUUUCAACUGUAAAGCUUUUGGUUUAGCGUCUAUGUUGUUAGCGCUAAUUUUAGUUCGGGCUAAUUUCGUGCCAGCAGCCGCGGUAAGACGGAACGGGCAAGCAUUAUUCUUGCUUUUGGCGUAAAGGGUUGAAUUCAUUUCGGUUGAUCUCGGGUCUAAUAGCGUAGUCACAACGUUUAUCCGUAUGUGUUUUUACCGUUUUGAGUAGCUUAUUCGGUGAUCGAAUUGAGGGUUGAGGGAUGAAAUCCAUUUAUGUCCUUAGGAAGAUCUCAAGCGAAAGCGUUUAUCUGGAAGUUACUGGCUUUGACCAACGAAAGCAUUGGUAUCAAUCGGGAUUAGAUACCCCGUUAGUCAAUGCCGUCAACGAUGAUACUUUUCAGGUGAUAACCAAAAAUCCAAACGGAUCAAGUAUUCCGCCUGAUUAGUAUAACCGCAAGGUCGAAAUUCAAAGGAAUUGAUGGGAAACCAUACUCGUGGUGGGCUAUGUAAUUUAAUUCGACGAUACGCGAAAACCUUACUGCAGAUCGACUAUUCAGGUGCUGCACGGCUGAUGUCAGCUCGUGCUUCGAAGCGUUUGCGUUUAGUCCCUUAACGAGCGCAGCGCUUCAUUCGUGUUCUGCACGGUUUUUUGCUGAGUUAGUCACACGUCAAGUCCUCGUGGCCUUAAUGCUGUAGGCUAUCUAUGUGGUACACUGUCGAUUUCACAGGGUCGCGUAAGCAAAUCCCUAAAGAUUGGCUCCGUUCUUGUUGCUCUCUGCGAUUCGAGAGCAUGAAGCAGGAAUCACUCAGUAAUCGCGUUUUAGUUCAGCGCGGUGAAUUUCGUUCUUGGUUUUUAUACAUCCCGCCUGUCAAGCUGGGAGAUCUAUGUUGUGUUUGGGCAUUCGUUCUUUCGUGCUAUCCAAUAUAUUUUUGUGGUUUAACUUGGUGGCUCUAUUUGUUUGAAUCGUUUCCGGCAAAGAGAUCUCGGUUAAGUCAUAACAAGGUUAUCUCAAAGGAAUUUGAGGUAGGAUCAAAAUGAUC
rnacentral:rRNA from 1 species